GUCAACAUGCAUACAAAUGGGUUGUUACAUUGUUUUAUUAUAACUGCCCCUUAUAUUUAAGAUACAGAAUUUACACUAACCAAGCCAGGUACCUUUUCUUUCAACUGUACUUUGUUUUGCAAGAAGCCAUUUGGACUAGGCAGACAAGCUUUAGCUACAGAGUCUGCAAUGUCAUACAGUGAGCAAUAGGAGGUGCCAAGCUUGAGUUGUAAAGCCAUUUGGUGAACACAAGGCAUUGUAACUCAGAACAGUGCUGCAUAUUCUGAAACUAGAACCUUCAUCUUAGUGCAGUGAUGAGAAAGAUUUAUACUAUCGUUUGGUCCACCCAUGCUGUGUGCAAUAUAUGCAUUGAAAGACUGCUUCAACUGAAGAGUUUCUAUUAAACAGAAAGGUAAGGAAGUCAUGGUAACUUGUGUGUCCAACA